rnacentral:lncRNA from 1 species
UGAGGAAACUACAAGUACUGGAACCUUCCCAAAAUAAAGAAGCAUUAAAGGGCCAUAUUUGUGAGCUAAAUCUUGGAGUGAUCUGUGAGGGGACACACCAAUUUGAUGAAGAUUACCAAGUAUAGGAAAUCUUGGAGGUGAAGGUGGUAAGUUUUUUUGGGUGGCAGAAUUGUUGGAAUACCAUUUGAUGAUGAAAAGAAGUGAAAUGAAGAUUGGUAAGAUAGUGAAGAAAAGCAUAGGGAAUGAAGAGAAGAUUUCCUGUGAAAGAGAACUGUGUAGAAAGGUGGACAUGGCUUAACCUUUGGUUUCUGUUGAGCGAUAAAAACCACUCUCUUCCUUCUUAUAUAUCACUUGGUGGUAUGAUUUUAAUGGUU